CAGGACGAACGCUGGCGGCGUGCUUCAUACAUGCAAGUCGAACGAGAAAUUCACUUCGGUGGAUGGAAAGUGGCGGACGGGUGAGUAAUGUGUAGAGAAUCUGCCCUGAGGAGGGGGGACAACAGAGGGAAACUUCUGCUAAUACCCCAUAUGCGCGUAGUUGCGAUACUAUUCGUGAAAGAUUUAUCGCUUCAGGAUGAGUCUGCAUCUGAUUAGCUAGUUGGCGGUGUAAUGGACCACCAAGGCGACGAUCAGUAGCUGGUUUGAGAGGAUGAUCAGCCACAAUGGGACUGAGACACGGCCCAUACUCCUACGGGAGGCAGCAGUAGGGAAUUUUGCGCAAUGGGCGAAAGCCUGACGCAGCCAACGCCGCGUGAUCGUAGAAGCCCUUCGGGGUGUAAAGAUCUGUCAGUAGGGACGAACAAUGACUGUACCUACAGAGGAAGCACCGGCUAACUCCGUGCCAGCAGCUGC
rnacentral:rRNA from 1 species